AAUUCCCGUUGAUCCUGCGGGAGGUUGCUGCUAUUGGGAUCCGAUUUAGACAUGCAAGUCAGGGCUCGCAAGAGACCGGCGGAAUGCUCAGUAACACGUCGAUAAUCUAACCUUAGGUCUGGGAUAACUUCGGGAAACUGAAGCUAAAACCGGAUAGGAAAUGCACUCUGGAAGGAUGCAUUUUUCAAAGGCAACGCUUAAGGAUGAGUUGGCGGCCGAUUAGGUUGUUGGUGGGGUAAAGUGCGAAAAAUAAAGUUUUUCUCGUGAAAAACUUACGCUUGUACAAGCCCACCAAGCCUGUGAUCGGUAGGGGCCUUGAGAGAGGGAGCCCCGAGAAGGACACUGAGAAACUGGUCCUAGCCCUACGGGGUGCAGCAGUCGCGAAACCUCUACAAUGCACGAAAGUGUGAUAGGGGGAUCCCAAGUGCUAAUGCUUUGCAUUGGCUUUUGCCAAGAGUAAAAUACAAAAAUGGACAUUUUGAUGUACCAUUUCUGAUUUACAUAUCUUGGCGAAUAAGUGGUGGGUAAGACUGGUGCCAGCCGCCGCGGUAACACCAGCGCCACAAGUGGGAGCCGUGUUUAUUGGGCCUAAAGCGUCCGUAGCUGGUUUGGUAAAUUCCUUGUUAAAGCAUCGGGCUCAACUCGAUGACUGCAGGGAACACUGCCUAACUUGGAACCGGGAGGAGUCAGAGGUAUUCUCAGGGGCGCGGUAAAAUGCAUUAAUCCUGAGAGGACCACCUAUGGCGAAGGCAUCUGACUAGAACGGGUUCGACAGUGAGGGACGAAGGCUAGGGGAGCGAACCGGAUUAGAUACCCGUGUAGUCCUAGCAGUAAACGCUGCGAGCUAGAUGUUGGAUAUUUUUCGAGAAUAUCCAGUGUCGGAGCGAAGGUGUUAAGCUCGCCGCCUGGGAAGUAUGGUCGCAAGACUGAAACUCAUGAGAAGAAAACUUAGGUUUUACUUCUAGAGUCAGUAAACUUAAAGGAAUUGGCGGGGAAGCACUACAAGGGGUGCGGCGUGCGGUUUAAUCUAACUCUACACAGAAAAUCUCACCAGGAGCGACGGCAGAAUGAAAGUCAGAUUAAAGGUCUUACUGGACAAGCCGAGAGGUGGUGCAUGGCCGCCGUCAGCUCGUGCCGUAAGGUGUCCACCUAAGCGUGAUAACGAGCGAGACCCACGUCAACAAUUGCUAACAGCUUUUGUGGAAGCUGUGCACAUUGUUGAGACUGCCCAGGAAACCGGGAGGAAGGUGUGGGCCACGGUAGGUCUGUAUGCCCCGAAUCUUCUGGGCAACACGCGCGCAACAAUGGUAAGGACAAUGGGUUGCAACUCUGAAAAGAGAAGCUAAACCUCGAAACCUUACCCUAGUACAGAUUGAUGGCUGUAACUCGCUGUCAUGACGAUGGAAUCCCUAGUAAUCGGACGUCAACAACGUCCGGUGAAUAUGUCCCUGCUUCUUGCACACACCGCCCGUCAAGCCACUCGAGCAGGGUUUUGAUAAGCAUUGAUUUUAGUCAAUGCGAAUCAAAGCUCAGUGAGAUGGGCUAAGUCGUCACAAGGUAGCCGUAGGGGAACCUGCGGCUGGAUCACCUCCUUA
rnacentral:rRNA from 1 species